rnacentral:rRNA from 1 species
CAGCCGCCGCGGGAAUACGAAGGGGGCGAGCGUUGCUCGGAAUGACUGGGCGUAAAGGGCGCGUAGGCGGUUUGCACAGUCAGAUGUGAAAUUCCUGGGCUUAACCUGGGGGCUGCAUUUGACACGUGUGGACUAGAGUGGGGAAGAGGGUCGUGGAAUUCCCAGUGUAGAGGUGAAAUUCGUAGAUAUUGGGAAGAACACCGGUGGCGAAGGCGGCGACCUGGUCCUUGACUGACGCUGAGGCGCGAAAGCGUGGGGAGCAAACAGGAUUAGAUACCCCCGUAGUCCCUGUCUCUUAUAU